UGGCGCAGCCUGACGAGCACGCCGCGUGCAGGAUGAAGGCCUUCGGGUUGUAAACUGCUUUUAUCCGGGACGAAAAUGACGGUACCUUAUGAAUAAAGGACCGGCUAACUUCGUGCCAGCAGCCGCGGUAAU
rnacentral:rRNA from 1 species